CCUACGGGAGGCAGCAGUGAGGAAUAUUGGUCAAUGGACGCAAGUCUGAACCAGCCAUGCCGCGUGCAGGAAGACGGCUCUAUGAGUUGUAAACUGCUUUUGUACGAGGGUAAACGCAGAUACGCGUAUCUGUCUGAAUGUAUCGUACGAAUAAGGAUCGGCUAACUCCGUGCCAGCAGCCGCGGUAAUACGGAGGAUUCAAGCGUUAUCCGGAUUUAUUGGGUUUAAAGGGUGCGUAGGCGGUCGGAUAAGUUAGAGGUGAAAUCCCGAGGCUCAACUUGGGAAUUGCCUCUGAUACUGUACGGCUAGAGAGUAGUUGCGGUAGGCGGAAUGUAUGGUGUAGCGGUGAAAUGCUUAGAGAUCAUACAGAACACCGAUUGCGAAGGCAGCUUACCAAGCUACUUCUGACGUUGAGGCACGAAAGCGUGGGGAGCAAACAGGAUUAGAUACCCGAGUAGUC
rnacentral:rRNA from 1 species